GAUGAACGCUGGCGGUAUGCCUAACACAUGCAAGUCGAACGAGCUCUUCGGAGCUAGUGGCGGACGGGUGAGUAACGCGUGAGAAUCUGCCUUCAGGAUGGGGACAACAGUUGGAAACGAUUGCUAAAACCCAAUGUGCCGCAAGGUGAAAUAUUAAUAGCCUGAAGAGGAGCUCGCGUCCGAUUAGUUAGUUGGUGGGGUAAAGGCCUACCAUGGCAGCGAUCGGUAGCUGGUCUGAGAGGAUGAGCAGCCACACUGGGACUGAGACACGGCCCAGACUCCUACGGGAGGCAGCAGUGGGGAAUUUUCCGCAAUGGGCGAAAGCCUGACGGAGCAAUACCGCGUGAGGGAGGAAGGUUUUUGGAUUGUAAACCUCUUUUGUUAAGGAAGAAGAAAGUGACGGUACUUAACGAAUAAGCAUCGGCUAACUCCGUGCCAGCAGCCGCGGUAA
rnacentral:rRNA from 1 species